AAUGAACGCUGGCGGCAGGCCUAACACAUGCAAGUCGAAGGUGAGGUGGGACGGGCGAGCAAUGUAUGGGAACGUACCUUUUGGUUCGGCACAACAGAGGGAAACUUUGGCUACAAGCGGAAACCGAUAGUUCGGCCCGGGUCUGAUUAGCUAGUUGGUAGGGUAAUGGCCUGACAAGGUGACGAUCAGUAGCUGGUCUGGGAGGAUGAUCAGACAAGUUGAGACUGAGACACGGUCCAAACUCCUACGGGAGGCAGCAGUGGGGAAUAUUGGACAAUGGUGGCAACCCUGAGCCAGCCAUGCCGCGUGAGUGAUGAAGGCCCUAGGGUUGUAAAGCUCUUUUGUGCGAGAAUCGGUACCGCAAGAAUAAGCCCCGGCUAACUUCGUGCCAGCAGCCGCGGUAAUUC
rnacentral:rRNA from 1 species